UACGGGGGGGGGCAAGCGUUGUUCGGAAUUACUGGGCGUAAAGCGCACGUAGGCGGCUUUGCAAGUUAGAGGUGAAAGCCCGGGGCUCAACUCCGGAAUUGCCUUUAAAACUGCAUCGCUAGAAUUGUGGAGAGGUAAGUGGAAUCCCGAGUGUAGAGGUGAAAUUCGUAGAUAUUCGGAAGAACACCAGUGGCGAAGGCGGCUGACUGGACAUGGAUUGACGCUGAGGUGCGAAAGCGUGGGGAGCAAA
rnacentral:rRNA from 1 species